AACACCGCAGUGCAUGAGCACGUAGAAGAAGUUAAGCUGCUGGGGAGCGAACAAGGCUGGAGCCUCAGUGAUGCUGGUGGAUCAGAUAACUGCUGAAAGUUUUAAACAAACCAGAGCUCUGGCAGGACCUUGCUAGACACUUCAUCCAAACAUAUCAUCUUACAACUCUGAUAAAAGGAUCUGCUGGAUUUUCUUUUGGCUGAGAUAAGACAUUUGUAUUCAUUGAAACCAAUGUUAAUUGGCCUGGAAACAUCACGCUGCUGUGACUCAGCAGAGGACCUUUUUCUGGAGAGGCACUCCACCUGAGGUGUCCCACAGGAGUGAAGCUUCCUUUGUGCUAACAGCUACAAUACAAACACGCGGUGACAGGCAGAUCCAGGCGCAAACCCAUCACAGUUUGUAUUUGAAAGACAGUUUGAAACAGUUCAACACCGUUCCUAUUAGCCUUCUGGAAAAGGAAAGCGUAAUGAAAAAACGCUUUCCACCUCAGCAACAUGGACAUCACUGUAAUGCCAAGGCUCUCUUGCAUCAGCUUAUAAGAAAUCUCUGCAUUCCCUUUUGCUGCACUUUCUUCCUCUAUGCCCUUACCACAGAUCAGACUGGAUCCAUCCACACACCAUCUACACAGCACACUUCAGAGUAGAUCAGGUUGAAGCUGACAAGAUCUAGGUGGCUUGAAGCGGAGACAGAUAUGGUAUGGGUUUUUUUUGAGAGUGGCCCUGAUGACUGAUUUUGUGAGCUGGGAAGUGUAGGCAUGGACUUCAUCCAGAUAUUUAGAAGCCUCGUGUUUGGAGACCAAAUAUGGAACUGUUGCUUUUGUCUGAGUACAAUCAUUGUUUCAAUUAAAAUGUGGCUACUAUUAAAAUAAUAAUGAAUGGUU
ensembl:lncRNA